rnacentral:rRNA from 1 species
GAUGAACGCUGGCGGCGUGCCUAAUACAUGCAAGUCGAACGAAGAUCUAGCUUGCUAGAUCUUAGUGGCGAACGGGUGAGUAAUACAUAAAUAAUCUGCCCAUAUGACUGGGAUAACUAUUGGAAACGAUAGCUAAUACCGGAUAGGUUGAUUGGAGGCAUCUCUGAUUAAUUAAAGUAGGAUUUCUACACAAAUGGAUGAGUUUAUGGCGCAUUAGUUAGUUGGUGGGGUAACGGCCUACCAAGACGAUGAUGCGUAGCCGACCUGAGAGGGUGACCGGCCACACUGGGACUGAGACACGGCCCAGACUCCGACGGGAGGCAGCAGUAGGGAAUUUUGGACAAUGGGGGGAACCCUGAUCCAGCCAUGCCGCGUGUGUGAAGAAGGCCUUAUGGUUGUAAAGCACUUUAAGCGAGGAGGAGGCUCUUUUGGUUAAUACCCAAGAUGAGUGGACGUUACUCGCAGAAUAAGCACCGGCUAACUCUGUGCCAGCCGCCGCCGUAAGAC